AAUUUAGUGAUCUAUUUCCUCAAUUCCUCCAUCUCAAUGCGGCUCAUACGGUAAGGAGCAACCGAAAUCGGGUAGGUUCCUGUCUGAAGGUCUACGGUGAAUUUGACUUCUCUGUCCACUAGCAAUCAAGGUAGUUCAUCCGGAAGUACAUCUGAAAAGUCUCGGACUACCGGAAUCUCUUGAAUAUGAAUUUCUUUCCUGGGUUUGCCUAGUUAAAGAAUAUAGUUGGGUUAAAAUACUUGAUAAUAAGAAAAUUUAUCAUGAGGGAACAAAUAUUAAACGAUUUUAUUAAUUUAUAAAUGACUACUCAUUAUGAAGGUUGAAUACAACUUUUUUGCUAAAACAAUCUACAGUGGCGUGAUAUGCCGCUAGCUAAUUCAUUCUUAAAAUUAUAGCAAAGUUUCCCGUGUCAAUUUCUAUUAGAUCCACACUCAAUUUUCUAUCUGUUAUAUCUAUGACAUAAGCUCUGUAUACAACCCCUCCAGUAGUGUCUUACUCCUAAAAGUAGACACAAACAACACAGAAUCAAAAUUUUCAGGUAAUAUAUUUAAUUUUGACGCAAAAACAUGUGAAAUAAAUGAAUGCAAUGCACCAGUAUCAAUUAAAAUAUGAGCAAUAUGGUUACAGAUAGUGUACAUACCCUAUACCACAUCCGGGUUUGCUUCUGCAUCCUGUUGAGUGAGAUUAUAAGUCUUGCCCUGAAUAGGAGGUCUGACCUAGUUCUGGUUCCUCGGGCACUC
rnacentral:lncRNA from 1 species